AAUCAACGCUGGCGGCGUGCCUAACACAUGCAAGUCGAGCGAGAAAGGGGCUUCGGCCCUGAGUAAAGCGGCGCACGGGUGAGUAACACGUGGGUAAUCUGCCCUCGAGUGGGGAAUAACACCGGGAAACCGGUGCUAAUACCGCAUACGAUCACGAUGUUUUCGGAUGUUGUGAUGAAAGGAGCAAUUCGCUCUUGGAGGAGCCCGCGGCUGAUUAGCUAGUUGGUGAGGUAAUGGCUCACCAAGGCAACGAUCAGUAGCCGGUCUGAGAGGACGGUCGGCCACACUGGAACUGAGACACGGUCCAGACUCCUACGGGAGGCAGCAGUGGGGAAUUUUUCGCAAUGGGGGCAACCCUGACGAAGCAACGCCGCGUGGAUGAUGAAGUCUCUUGGGACGUAAAAUCCUUUCGACAGGGAAGAAACCGCAAGGUUGACGGUACCUGUAGAAGAAGCCCCGGCUAACUCCGUGCCAGCCGCCGCGGUAAUAC
rnacentral:rRNA from 1 species